UCUCCGUUGGUGAACCAGCGGAGGGAUCAUUACCGAGUUUACAACUCCCAAACCCCUGUGAACACACCUAUCGUUGCCUCGGCGGUGCCCGCUCCGGCGGCCCGCCAGAGGACCCCCAAACUCUUGUUUUAUACAGUAUCUUCUGAGUAACACGAUUAAAUAAAUCAAAACUUUCAACAACGGAUCUCUUGGUUCUG
rnacentral:misc_RNA from 1 species